ACAGUGCAUCCAGCUGAAUCAGACAAAUGGAAGGUAGCUGCUGCAAAAUGUUUAUGUAUUGAAAAUAAUUUUUAAGUUAUAAUAUCAAGCCCCAGGUAAGUUUACCCAUUUAAAAUUUUACACUCAAAUUUUGAUUUUAAAAAUUAAAAAAAAAAAAAAAAACCUUAAACAUCAUUUUUUUCAAACCGCAAAGUCAGAUGGGGUAGCGGAGCCAGAAGACUUAUCAACAACUAGGCCACCAAGCACCCCAGGAGACCACCCAAUACCAAUCAGUAGGAGAAUAUCCACAAAGGCUUCCAUCAGAUACGAGGAACCAAGUUCAAGCCCAUGAUCUGUUUGGUUUUUAAGGUGCUAAUUGAUUUAUGACAAGUAAUUUAAUUAAUCAAUACUAAAUCACCAGUCCAUCACUUCCUUUUUUGUGCUUGAAGGAGCAGAACUUGUAUAAACACCAGACUACAGGCAGCUCACAAAUUAGUGUGUUUCGCAUUUUAGUAAUUUUUAUGGCAAAAUGAGUCAUGAUUUGCAGCCUGCAUGAUAGAUACUGCUAGGAUCAAAUUUUGUUGGUUUCUUUCUGCGAUCCAGGAAAAAAGAACAUAUCCCACCAAAAAAGAACAAAGAAAAAUGGCCUUUUAGGGCUGAAAAGGCAUCAAGUAAUGAAAAGGCAACAAAAUGAUAGGAAGAAGAACAGAUUGUGCAUGUACCUGAAGGGUCACUGUUAACAGCACUGACGAGUUGCAGAGAGACUCCUUGGCCUAAAAACUCAUGCACACGAUCAUGAAUCGAAGCAUUUAAAUCAGUUAAGUCCAGAACAUUCUUCUUCAUCAGCACAACAGUGCCUCUUAUCUUCUUUUUGCAGUCCCCUGUACAACAACCAGUGAUGGCAUCAAUAAUGUUCUGAAACAUUUCUUUUCCUCUCUUCUGUUGCUCACUUCUUGGUGCUGAACAAAGAGUUCAAUCUACAGGUGGCUUUAGAAAACAAUGUAAUGCGAGUCAAGGGAACGGUUGUGUGGUAGUAUUUAUAGAGAGGGACUACACAUAUGGUAAAGAACACGCAGCUUCAUUUGUUCAUAUUGCAGCUUGCUCUAGUUAUUGCAUUUUAUCAGGAAAGGAAGACUUUUUGUGCUCAAGUCUUCGUUUCAUAUGAAACCA